ensembl:lncRNA
GGGAGCCUUCCCCUGAGAGGCAGGGCGCCCCUGCCGAGGGUGGGAGAAGAGGGGCAACCCCACCCCACCCCUAGGCGCCAGGCAAAGGCUCCCAGUGAGCGCACCACCUCCGGCCGUCUUGGAGAGACUUUUCGGGUCUCGUCCCUGGGGGAAGGGAGGGGGAACACCCAGCGCUGGACGAGCUGUGGCCGGGAAGGGGGUGGGCGUCCACCCCUCGGCUCCUUUCGAGCCCCGUCCCCCAGCUCAGCAUCCCUUCCCGCCGCCCGGGUCCCCCUUUUCUCACCCCCGUCCUCCGCGCCGUCUAUUCGGCUCACGCUCUUCUCUCCGCCCGCAGCCCUCGGACCGGAGGCUCCGAAGCCGGACCUUCCUGCCCCUCCCGCCGCCGCCGCCACGGCUGCCCCCCAAGAGGGGAAAGUCGGAGAGCCUCCUGCCCCCAGUGCCCUUCCUGCAGCCAGGAACGCCGGCGAGGGUCCCGAGGGCGGCAGCCGUUCCUCUUCCUCCUCCUCUUCGUCGUCGUCGUCCUCCUCCUCCAGCGAGUGUGACCAGGAGGGAAAGGACCCCAGCACAGAUCGCAAGAAGAAACACAAACCCAAGAAGGAGAAGAAACCCAAGAUGAAGAAGAAAAGCCACUGAAGGUCGCGUUCACUCCCGCUUUCCCUUCACUUCUCCUUCCGGGAGCCUCCAUCCCAGCCGUAGGGGAAGCAAAUGGACCCUACGCAGCUGA